rnacentral:rRNA from 1 species
UGGGGAAUUUUGCACAAUGGGGGAAACCCUGAUGCAGCGACGCCGCGUGUUUUAGAAGGCCUUCGGGUUGUAAAAAUCUUUUUUACGGGAUGAAAAUGACAGUACCGUAAGAAUAAGGUCCGGCUAAAUACGUGCCAGCAGCCGCGGUAAUACGUAUGGACCGAGCGUUGUCCGGAAUCAUUGGGCGUAAAGGGUACGUAGGCGGCCUAGUAAGUUAGAAGUGAAAUAAUAUAGCUCAACUAUAUAAAGCUUUUAAAACUGCUAGGCUUGAGAGAUGGAAGGGAAAGUGGAAUUCCUAGUGUAGCGGUGAAAUGCGCAGAUAUUAGGAAGAAUACCGGUGGCGAAGGCGACUUUCUGGUCAUCAUCUGACGCUGAGGUACGAAAGCGUGGGUAGCAAAGAGG